rnacentral:rRNA from 2 species
AGCAUAGCGAUUUGGGAUAAGUCCCUUGGAAAAGGGCAGCAUGGAGGGUGAUACUCCCGUCUCUGCUCGGAUUGUCUGUGUGUACGAUACGCUUUCUUUGAGUCGAGUUGUUUGGGAAUACAGCUCAAAGUAGGUGGUAAAUUCCAUCUAAAGCUAAAUAUUGGUGCGAGACCGAUAGCGAACAAGUACCGUGAGGGAAAGAUGAAAAGAACUUUGAAAAGAGAGUUAAAGAGUACCUGAAACUGUUGAAAGGGAACCGUAUCGUUUCCAGUGUUUUAUCCUGUGCAUAUUUCAUUAGCGGAGCAAUUUGCUGGUGCCCUGUGCAUGGGUGUGACGUCAGAGUCAGUUUGUAUGCUGCGGGAGAUGGUCAGUGAGGAGGUGCGUCACUUCGGUGAAAGUUAUAUCUCGCUGUCUAGUGGCCGUGGUUGAGACUGAGGUGCC